GAGAGAGGCAUCGCAGCAGCAAGGACUGCUAAUCCUCGCCACCUUGGUUAAAGUCCAUGGCUCACUCG
rnacentral:tRNA from 1 species